rnacentral:lncRNA from 1 species
GCGGCCGGUCCCUUGAGUGCGUGCGGCAUAUUUCCCUGCGCGGAGGAGUGCGUGUUCUUUCUGAUCCGCUCUUUCAAGAGCGGAUUCGGAAGCUGCUGUGUGAACGGUUCUCGACAGCCUCAGAAAUGUACAUUUUCUUUUUGCUGUAUUGAAAAUUUCUUACAGUAUUUCCCGGGCUUAGGAAUUUGUUCGUGUCAUCGCUGAAUCUUCGCGAUCACCCCCAGAAGGAAGUGGCUGAGCCGAGAUCAGGCCCGUCGACUCCAGACCAGGGGUCCUCGACCUAAGUGGUUACCAGACACUCGAGUGUGCGAACAACUUUGGUAAUUUUUUUUUUUUAAUGUAAGCGUAACUACGAAGCCACAUGGGAGAGGAUUUUGAAGAGGUUAAAAUUUGGGGUCAGGAACUAGAUUUCAGUCCUGCUUUCACCGUUUACUGUGCCUUGGAUUUUAAAGAGGAUCAAAUGAGGUUGUGAAAGUACUUUGUGAAUUCAGAAAACCCCUUGGAAAUGCAAAAAUGUUGGCACCCCCACCCAUCCUUCCGUCCCUAACCACAAUCUCCAUAGAUGGAAUAUAUGUACAUUAUACGUAAUGUUUACAUAUUGUAUAUGUAAAAAAAAUUUUUUUUUGAGACGGAGUCUCACUGUCGCCCAGGCUGGAGUGCAGUGGCGCUAUCUCGGCUCACUGCAGCCCCGCCUCCUGGGUUCAAGCGGUUCUUCUGUCUCAGCCUCCCUAGUAGCUGGAAGUACAGGCGCACGCCACCACACCCAGCUAAUUUUUGUAUUUUUAGUAGAGACGGGGUUUCACCAUUGGCCAGGCUGGUCUCGAACUCCUGACCUCGUGAUACGCCUGCCUCAGCCUCCCAAAGUGCUGGGAUUACAGGCAUGAGCCACCGCGCCCGGCCAAAAAUUUUGUAAUUUUUUUUUUUUGGUGGAGGGAGGAUAGAAGCUCAGCCACCUCUUGCCCAGUCUGCAGCAGGUCAGCCAGGAACCUCAACCAUCUCUGCAGCCAGAGCCUGUCUUCAUGGUGGACAGAGCCAUCUCGCUUUGUCACCCAGGCUCGGGUACAGUGGCACAGUCUCAGCUCACUGCAGCCUCAACCUCUUGGGCUCAAGCGAUCCUGCCACCUCAGCCUCCCAAGUAGCUGGGACUACAGGUGUGUGCCACCACGCCUGGCUAAUUUUUGUAUUUUUAGUAGAGAUGGGUUUUCGCCAUGUUGGCCAGACUGGUCUCAACUUCCUGCCCUCAGGUGAUAUGCCUGCCUCAGCCUCCCAAAGUGCUGGGAUUACAAGCGUGAGUCACCAUGCCUGGCCUAUAUCAAAAUAUUUAUUUAUAUACACAUAUUUUAUGUGUGUGUGUGUGUGUGUGUGUGUGUGUGUGUGUGUGUGUAUUUCAUAAGGUCCCCCAUGAUAUUUCAGCAGUGAAGUGAUAUUUCUAAUUAAUUUGGGUUUUCUUAUCUUCCCAAUUUUCCUUCAUUGUAUAUAUAUUGCUGUGUACUAUGGAAAAAGCAAUAUUAUAAAAGUUAACAUACUUCUUCGGUGCGCAUGCGACGAGGCUCAAUAUGUGUGGUGGAGUGUGCACGCC